rnacentral:rRNA from 1 species
CCUACGGGAGGCAGCAGUGGGGAAUAUUGCGCAAUGGGCGAAAGCCUGACGCAGCGACGCCGCGUGAGGGAUGAAGGUCUUCGGAUCGUAAACCUCUGUCAGCAGGGAAGAACGGUCACUGUGCUAAUCAGCAGUGAAUUGACGGUACCUGCAAAGGAAGCACCGACUAACUCCGUGCCAGCAGCCGCGGUAAUACGGAGGGUGCGAGCGUUAAUCGGAAUUACUGGGCGUAAAGCGCUCGUAGGCGGUAUGUCAAGUCAAGGGUGAAAUCCCCGCGCUCAACGUGGGAACUGCCUUUGAAACUGGCAAACUGGAGUGUGUGAGAGGAUAGUGGAAUUCUAGGUGUAGGAGUGAAAGCCGUAGAUAUCUGGAGGAACAUCAGUGGCGAAGGCGACUAUCUGGCACAUAACUGACGCUGAGGAGCGAAAGCGUGGGUAGCAAACAGGAUUAGAUACCCUUGUAGUC